rnacentral:misc_RNA from 1 species
CCAAUAGCGUAUAUUAAAGUUGCUGCAGUUAAAAAGCUCGUAGUUGAAUUUCGGGACCAUCAUGUCGGUCGUGCCUCGGUACGUACUGGCAUUGUUGGUUUCUCCCUUCUGACGAACCAUGAUGUCAUUUAUUUGGUGUUGUGGGAAACCAGGACUGUUACUUUGAAAAAAUUAGAGUGUUUAAAGCAGGCUCACGCUUGAAUACAUUAGCAUGGAAUAAUGAAAUAGGACGUUUGAUUCUAUUUUGUUGGUUUCUAGGAUCGACGUAAUGAUUAAUAGGGAUAGUUGGGGGCAUUAGUAUUCAAUUGUCAGAGGUGAAAUUCUUGGAUUUAUUGAAGACUAACUACUGCGAAAGCAUUUGCCAAGGAUGUUUUCAUUAAUCAAGAACGAAAGUUAGGGGAUCGAAGACGAUCAGAUACCGUCGUAGUCUUAACCAUAAACUAUGCCGACUAGGGAUCGGAUGAUGUUAAUUUUUUAAUGACUCAUUCGGCGCCUUACU